rnacentral:rRNA from 1 species
GACGAACGCUGGCGGCGUGCUUAACACAUGCAAGUCGAACGAAGUGGCGAACGGGUGAGUAACGCGUAAUCAACCUGCCCUUCAGAGGGGGAAAACAGUUGGAAACGACUGCUAAUACCGCAUACUGAAGGAGGGGAUUGCGUUGGAUUGGGUAGUUGGCGGGGUAACGGCCCACCAAGGCGAUGAUCAGUAGCCGGUCUGAGAGGAGGAACGGCCAAAUUGGGACUGAGACACGGCCCAGACUCCUACGGGAGGCAGCCGUAGGGAAUCUUCCGCAAUGGACGAAAGUCUGACGGGGCAACGCCGCGUGAGUGAUGAAGGCCUUCGGGUUGUAAAGCUCUGUUAAUCGGGACGCGGUAACUGAAGAGAAAGCCACGGCUAACUACGUGCCAGCCGCCGCGGUAAUUC